AACCACUCCUACGGGAGGCAGCAGUGGGGAAUAUUGCACAAUGGGGGAAACCCUGAUGCAGCGACGCCGCGUGGGUGAGGAAGUAUUUCGGUAUGUAAAGCCCUAUCAGCAGGGAAGAAGAUGACAGUACCUGACUAAGAAGCCCCGGCUAACUACGUGCCAGCAGCCGCGGUAAUACGUAGGGGGCAAGCGUUAUCCGGAUUUACUGGGUGUAAGGGGAGCGCAGGUGGCAAGGCAAGCCAGAAGUGAAAACCCGGGGCUUAACCCCGCGGAUUGCUUUUGGAACUGUCUGGCUGGAGUGCAGGAGGGGCAGGCGGAAUUCCUGGUGUAGCGGUGAAAUGCGUAGAUAUCAGGAGGAACACCGGUGGCGAAGGCGGCCUGCUGGACUGUAACUGACACUGAGGCUCGAAAGCGUGGGGAGCAAACAGGAUUAGAUACCCUUGUAA
rnacentral:rRNA from 1 species